rnacentral:rRNA from 1 species
ACUCAAAUGAAUUGACGGGGACCCGCACAAGCGGUGGAGCGUGUGGUUUAAUUCGAUACUAAGCGAAGAACCUUACCUAGGUUUGACAUCUCUGGAAAGCUCUGGAAACAGAGCCGUGCCGCAAGGAGCCAGAUGACAGGUGCUGCACGGUUGUCGUCAGCUCGUGCUGUGAAGUGUCCCGUUCAGUCGGUCAACGAGCGCAACCCACAUCCUGUGUUAAAUUUUUCACAGGGAACUGCCUCAGUUAAUGGGGAGGAAGGUGUGGAUGACGUCAAAUCAGCGUGGCCCUUACACCUAGGGCGACACACGCGCUACAAUGGAUAGUAACAAUGGGUUGCCAAGCCGCAAGGCGGAGCUAAUCCCAACAAACCUAUCCUCAGUUCGGAUUGGAGGCUGCAACUCGCCUCCAUGAAGUCGGAAUCGCUAGUAACGGCCGGUCAGCCAUACGGCCGUGAAUACGUUCUCGGGUCUUGUACACACCGCCCGU